CGCGUAGGCGGUUGAGCGCGUGUCCGGUGCCAGCCCGUUGCUUAACGACGGGAGUGCCGGGCAGACGGCUGAACUGGAGGGCCGCAGAGGGACAUCGAAUUCCGGGUGGAGUGGUGAAAUGCGUAGAGAUCCGGGAGGAAGACCAAGGGCGCAGGCAGUGUCCUGGGCGGCAGCUGACGCUGUGGCGCGAAAGCCAGGGGAGCGAACG
rnacentral:rRNA from 1 species